rnacentral:rRNA from 1 species
GAUGAACGCUGGCGGCGUGCUUAACACAUGCAAGUCGAACGGUGAAGCAGAGCUUGCUCUGUGGAUCAGUGGCGAACGGGUGAGUAACACGUGAGCAACCUGCCCCUGACUCUGGGAUAAGCGCUGGAAACGGCGUCUAAUACUGGAUAUGAGCUGCGACCGCAUGGUCAGCAGUUGGAAAGAUUUUUCGGUCUGGGAUAGGCUCACGGCCUAUCAGCUUGUUGGUGAGGUAAUGGCUCACCAAGGCGUCGACGGGUAGCCGGCCUGAGAGGGUGACCGGCCACACUGGGACUGAGACACGGCCCAGACUCCUACGGGAGGCAGCAGUGGGGAAUAUUGCACAAUGGGCGAAAGCCUGAUGCAGCAACGCCGCGUGAGGGGUGACGGCCUUCGGGUUGUAAACCUCUUUUAGCAGGGAAGAAGCGAAAGUGACGGUACCUGCAGAAAAAGCGCCGGCUAACUACGUG